GCGCUGCCCGGUGGCGUCGUGCUAAACGGUCGCAAUGGAUAGUUGUGCUAAGGUAGCGCAGUCAAUUGUCCUUUAAUUGGGGAAAGGAAUGAAAGGGUUGACGAGGGGUGAGCUGUCUUUAUAGUAUAGUUUGAAGUUUUCUUUUACGUGAAAAGACUUAAAUUUAAAAAUAAGAAGAGAAGACCCCGGCGAGCUUGGUAAGGGUUAUUAAACUAAAAUAAUUAUUGAGGUUUGUUGGGGCAACGCAAAGGGAAAAUAACUCCUUUGAACGUAAUAAAGAUCCACUUAGAGUGAACAAAGCAAAAGCUACCGCGGGGAUAACAGCGCAAUUUUUUCAGAGAGUUCAUAUCGAAGAGAAUGUUUGCGACCUCGAUGUUGGAUUAAGAUUUCCUUUUGGUGCAGGGGUUAAAAAGGUGGGACUGUUCGUCCUUUAAAAUCUUACGUGAUCUG
rnacentral:rRNA from 1 species